AUCCACUCUGCUGGAGUUUUUUAAGUGAGCCCAGGUUAUGGGUCCCAAAGGGAAUUAAAUUACCGCUCUCUCCAGUGCCCAGAAACAGUACAUGGUGAAUAUCUACAAACUUGCCUGGCCAGAUGUGGGAAAACCAUCAGAAAUGGGCCUCUGGGGUUUUCUGGUGUUUGGAAAGAAUCCACCAAAGAACUGCUCACUGAAUCACCUGUCGCAUUCCUGGAGAAGCUAACAGAGAUCAGUGUUCAUUUGUGAAAGCAGCUCCCAGAAUCUGGUGUUGGUAUUGUUGGGACUCAUGUAGCAGCUCCAGAUCCCUGCUGAGUGGAGAAACAGCAACGCAGCUCCUCUGCUGACACCUUUGCCUUCAUUCUCACCUCUCUUAAUUUCCUGCAGCUUCAUUUCAAUUAAAAACUAAUAAUAAACCCAAAGAUACUUAGGAAGUGCAGAAACCCAUCUGUAUCCUGCCCAUGGGGGCCAAUGUGCUUGAGCAAGCGGGGAAACUCCAUUUCCCACCCCAACAGCUGCCUGCAUGGGGCUGCUUCCAAACUGCUGCAGCCCGGUGGGAUUUCUUCCUUUCUCACUGGGCUUCCUGUGCUGUUCAUGAACUCUUGCAGCCUGCCAGCACUACCUCUGCUUGCUUUGCAAAGCUCUUCCAGAGAGGCUACCCUUGAGGCUGGAGAACUCCAGUACCAACCACCAUGGAAAUGAAACCAAAUGGUACCCAUCAAUAACUUUUGGGUAGAAACAGAGGUUGCCUGGGAAAGCCUGGCUAUCCAUUUGCUGUUUUGAGUCCUGCUCUGGGCCUGCAGGACUGGAACUGCCCCAGCAAACUCUUGAGGCUGUGCUAAAAAAGAACCUGAUUUAUUGUGCUUAUGCUACAGAGGAGCAGAAACUUCUCUGGCAGUGCACAAUAAACAACCUUUUAUGGGGAUGCAGAAAGCAGCAACGUUAGAGAACAUCAGACUGGAGAUACUUCUUAAUGACACCAUUUGAGAAAGCCAUGCUUUCUCAAGAUUGAAGGAGCCAAAGUGUCAAGAACUCAGGGUACCACAGCACAUCAAUGCUACACUCUGGAUGUGUUGCCUCACUGGGCCAGCAGCCCUCCAAUGUGAGGCAUGGAAUCAUAGAAUCAAUGAGGUUGGAAAAGACCACUAAGAUUAUCCAGUCCCACCCCAUCCCAUCUCCACCAUGCCCACUAGCCAUGUCCCUCAAUGCCACAUCCAGACACGGCCAAACACCCUGCCCAGGAGAGCUCACAGCCCAGCUGCAAAGCAACAGGGGCCCCUAUGGACACCAGGAGACAAAGCCAAAGCCGGGAACAAUGAGCCUGUGUUCUCUGUGUGAGAGGCAGAAGUAGCAGCUUAUUGCUUAUCCCGUUAUUUUACAGACUGCUAGGCUGAAAACCAGAACACCUGGCUCUUGGCAGUGAUGCAAACAAACCCCAUUGGUUUCCUGUAUUGCUGCACCAAGCCCUGGAGAUGAGGAACAUCUGUGAGCUCCAGGCUGGGACCAGUGUGCUGCAGAAAUGCUUUUCCCAUCCACGGGAAACUUUCAAUAUUUUAAACUUUUCUGUCCUUCAUCAGCCAAAAAUUCAAAAGCAAGGAGAAAUGGAAGUCUCAGCUAUUUAAUUUUGAACAGAGAUCCAUAAAUCACGCAACCUAACAGGCCAAAGAGUUUACUUUAAAUGCCUUUGUUUAGAACUUUGUUCUAAUUUUACAGCCUUUACCAGCUUUAAAUUAAAUCCUUACAGUUGCUUAUGUACAACAUUUUUCCUCCUCUUUGUUUAAUUUUAGACAUGUACAGCUAAAUGUUAAAUAUGUAUUACCAAGUAAUUGAAAUGUCAUAGUCCUAGAUUAAACUCCUCUAGUGGAACUAAAUUAAAGGUUUCUGCUCCUGGUUAAGAAGAGUGCAGUGUUGAUGUUUUAUAGCAGCAGCAAAGCCAGAAUUACAGGUUGGGCUUCCG